AAUAGCUGAACGAGAAGCAGCAGCUUUCCCCAUGCAAGCAUGCACACCCCACUGUCCAUUCUCUGUGAGCUUCCUGUCUCAGUUUCUUUCUGGCCUUCUACAAAGAAAGAGCAAAGCGAAGCAACGCUGUCUGCACUGCUAAACUUAGAAUCCAAUGGAGCGAUUUCAUCACCGAGGGUUGCGUAAUGAGCCAGCAGACAAAAAUCACAAAGAGGAUGAUGCAACAGACGAAAAGGAAAGCAAACACGAAAGCUGUCAAACUGGAUUUGAAGAAUGGGAAAGAAACUUCUGACAUUGGAUGAUGUAACUGAACCAAAUGAGAUGUCAUCGGCAAUGAAAGAAAGAAACUUGUGAUGUUGGAUGAUGGCCCUGGACUAAAUGAGAUGUCAUUGGCAAUGAAAGGUAAAGAAACAGACUGAGGAGAAGGGGGCAAGAUGGUGGCGCCGGGAGGACUUUCAUUCUGAACAGCAGUACAGCAGGAUCGGCACAGUGACCAGCAAGCAGAACUCACAGCCAUAAAACACAAGCAAUUGUGUUUCUCAGGUGAGAGGAUACCCCACAGUGGGGGAUUCAAUCAGCUUUAACUCACCUGGCUAAACCGUGGAAGAGAUCCAGCUUCCGCCAGGUGCUUGAUUGCCAGCCCAGAGCUACAGGCCAGCGUGCUCUGGUCACUGUCCCAGACUGAACUGUGGGCCCACAACAUCACAGACUGGAUUUUCCAGUCGAGAGAUAACCCCACGGAGCAGGAAACGAUUGGGACAGACCUUAGGUCACCCAGACAUACCCUGGAAAAGAGUUGGGUUCCACGGGCACCCCAGGAGCCAGCCCGGAGCCAGAGCCGGGGACCCAGGCACCUGCACAGAGCUCUGCCUGCAGGCCUGAUUCGCUGCCUCAGAUAGAACUGUGGGCCCCAGGGCACCAGAGACUGAUUUUCACCUUUGGGUACAAACCCACAGGGAGGGAAACCUGAGUGGUCUGAUCUCAGAGCACUCAGCUGAUACCACCACCCCGAAAAGGUCGGAAAAUUACCCAGUCUAGGCAGACACACAGGCUCCCAAUGGCCAGAAAGGCGGAGCCAGGGGCUGGCGUCUGUGCCUGUGGGUUCUACUCGCUGCCACCCCAGACAGAACGGCAGUCCCCAAAGCAAAGGCUGGGUGUCCCUGGCAGAAGGAAACCCCCAGCGGGGGGGGGGGGGUCAUCAGGUCUAAUGCUCAGGACACCCAACACCAAAAGACUUUCUGGAUUCAUGCAGACUCUAGGCUCUAGCUUUCUAAUGCUGGCAGGAGCGCUGUGCUCAGCCGCUAUUAUUGAGUACCCCAAGGGCACUGGGGCACACAGCUGCAUUCUCAGACCUAGAAAAGCCAGAGAGCCAUUCCAGCAGCCCUCAGAUACUGUGCCAAGGAUCAACCAGUUAUCCCUAGCUAGACUGACAAAACUGUGGGAAUCCCUGGUCCUUCAAGAGGGCUGCACCCACAGUGUCUGGACCAGAGCAGUGCCUGCAGCCGACAUCUCAGACAGGGACACACAGCUUCUGGUCCAGACUGAGGCACCCAACCUCCAGACCAGAGCGGCGCCCCCAGGCACCAACUCAACCAAGGUGCACAUUCUCCAGGCCCAGAGCAGAGCCCUCAGCCUCUGGCCCAGAGACUUGGUGGGCACUCCUCUCACUUUCCCGGACAGAACUGUGUGCCCCAGGAUAACAGACUGAGUUUCCCUGUUGGGAGAAAACCCCACAGCUAGGGAAUCAGCAGGUUCUUCAAGAGGACUGUACCUGGAAAACUGUAACAACAGCAGCAGCUCACUAAAUUUAUAAUGAGAAACCCAGCAGUGGGGCAGCUGUCUUGAGAACUUCUAUGGAUAAGAGGAGAGCCCCCCCCCCCCCCCCGCAUAACAAAGACCACAGCUACUACUCAGGGCUAUACACCUGAGGUGAGCAGUGGCAAUUCCUGAGAAACACUGGCCAUAUAGUGACCAUAACCAAAAAGAAGAGGAGGACUCUUUCAGGAAAAAUCAUCUUCCGGCCAAGGGGAUUCUCCCUACCCCAGGUCUCCAGGAAGCACAGAAACUAACAGCCAACACCUAAAACAGCCCAAUGGGUAGAGGUCAGCAUAAAAGCUCAACCAACAAAAGACAGAGCAAUAUGGCAUCUCCAGAACCCAGCCAUCCAGGGGCGAACAGCCCUGGACAAGGCAGCAUAAUAGAAAAUUAAGAAGAUGACCUUACAUCUAUGCUGAUGAAGAGGAUAAUAGAGGAAACAAAUAAAAUACGUAAAGAAUUAGAGGAAGAUAAAACCAAACAGAUCAUGGCUACCCGUAAAGAAAUGGAGGAAGUUAAAGACAAGCAGAUUAUGGCCAUCCGUGAAGAAAUACAGGAAGAUACAGCCAAACAGUUUUUGCCUUCAGAGAAGAAAUAAUUAAAUCACUGAAAGAAGUAAAAGAAACAGAGUUGAAGGAACUAAAAGAAAAAGAGGAAAAUACACUCAGACAGGUGAAGGAAGUAAACAAAACAAAUCAAGACCUGAAGAUAGAACUGGAAAAAUUAAAGAAAACACAAAUGGAGGAAAUAAUGGAGAGGAAGAAUUUAGGGAAGAAAACAGGAACUACAGAGGUAAGCAUAACCAACAGACCACAAGAGAUGGAAGAAAGAAUCUCAGGUGUAGAAGAUACAAUGGAAGAAAUCUAUAUACCUGUCAAAGAAAAUGUUAAAUCCAAAAAAUUCCUGACACAGACCGUCCAGGAAAUCCAAGACAAUAUGAAAAGACAAAACCUAAGAAUAAUAGGAAUAGAGGAAAAAAAAGACUCCCUUCACCACGGCCCAGAACAUAUUUUCAACAAAAUCAUUGAAGAAAAUUUCCCCAAGUUAAAGGAGAGGCCAAUAAGAAUACAUGCGGCCUACAUAACACCCAACAAAUUUGACCAGAAAAGAAAAUCCUCCCGCCACAUAAUAAUCAAAACAGUAAGUAUACAGAACAAAGAAAAAAUACUAAAAGUUGCAAGGGAAAAAGGCCAAGUAACAUAUAAAGGCAAACCCAUUAGAAUCACACCUGACUUUUCAACAGAGACUAUGAAAGCCAGAAGGGCCUGGAUGGAUAUCAUGCAGUCCCUAAGAGAACACAGAUGUCAGCCCAGGCUAUUAUACCCAGCAAAACUCUCAGUCCUCAUAGACAGAGAAAACAAGAUAUUCAAUGAGAAAAACAAAUUUCAACAAUACCUACAAACGAAUCCAGCAUUACAGAAGACACUGGAAGGGAAAAUACAACCCAAGAAAAAUUAGCUUCUGUCAAAAAAACACAGGAAAUAAUUAACCUUACUACAGUAAAACAAAAAGCGACCACACACACAACCUUAUGACCACAGCCAACAUCAAAAUCAAAGGAUCUAACAGCCACUGGUCAUUAAUCUCUCUCAACAUCAAUGGACUCAACUCUCUAGUAAAAAGACACAGAUUAACAGAAUGGAUACGUAAACAAAACCCAGCAAUCUGUUGUAUACAAGAAACACACCUAAGGCACAAAGAUAGACAUUACCUGAGGGUAAAAGGUUGGAAGACGACUUUCCAAGCAAAUGGACCCAAGAAGCAAGCAGGAGUAGCCAUUCUAAUAUCUGAUAAAAUAGACUUUCAACCAAAAUUAAUAAAAAGAGAUGGGGAAGGACACUUCAUAUUCAUCAAAAGAAAAUUCCACCAGGAAGACAUCACAACCCUGAACAUCUAUGCCCCAAAUACAAGAGCACAUACAUUUGUAAAAGAAACAUUGAUAAAAUUUAAACCACAUAUAGAUCCCCACACAUUAAUAGUGGGAGACUUCAAUACCCCACUCUCAACAAAGGACAGGUCAACAAAACAAAAAUUAAACAAAGAAACAGUAUCUCUGACAGAGGUCAUGAGUCAAAUGGACCUCACAGACAUUUACAGAACCUUACACCCAAACACAAAAGAAUUUACCUUCUUCUCAGCACCUCAUGGAACCUUCUCCAAAAUAGACCAUAUAGUUGGUCACAAAGCAAGCCUCAACAGAUACAAGAAGAUUGAAAUAAUCCCUAGUAUCUUGUCUGAUCACCAUGGAAUAAAGUUGGACUUCAACAACAAGAGAAAUAGCAAAAAGCCUACACACACAUGGAAAUCAAACAACCUUGUUACUAAAUGACAGCUGGGUCAGGGAAGAAAUAAAGAAAGAAAUUAAAGUCUUCCUAGAACUCAAUGAAAAUGAAGACACAACAUACCCAAACUUGUGGGACACAAUGAAAGCAGUGCUAAGAGGAAAGUUCAUAGCACUAAGUGCCUUCAAGAAGAAAUUCGAGACAGCUCAUUCAAGCAACUUAAUGGCCCACUUAAAAACCCUAGAAAAAGAAGAAGCAGACACACCAAAAGGGAGUAGCUGGCUGGAAAUAAUCAAACUCAAGGCUGAAAUCAAUCAAUUAGAAACAAAUAAAACAAUUCAAAGAAUCAACGAAACCAAGAGCUGGUUCUUUGAGAAAAUCAACAAGAUCGACAAUCCCUUAGCCAAACUAACUAAAAGGCAGAAAGACAUCACCCAAAUCAACAAAAUCAGAAAUGAAAAGGGGGACAUAACUACAGACACUGAGGAAAUCCAAACAAUCAUUAGGACUUACUUCAAAAGUCUAUAUGCCACAAAAUUUGAAAAUCUAAAUGAAAUGGACAAUUUUCUUGAUUGAUUUGACUUACCAAAGCUGAAUCAGGACCAGGUAAGUCAAUUAAAUAGUCCUAUAUCCCCCAAAGAAAUAGAAGCGGUCAUCAAAAGUCUUCCCCCCCCCCAAAAAAAAAGCCCAGGACCAGAUGGCUUCAGCGCAGAAUUCUACCAGACCUUCAAAGAAGAGCUAACUCCAGUUCUCUUCAAACUAUUCCACAAAAUAGAAACAGAAGGAACAUUACCAAACUCAUUCUAUGAAGCCACAAUCACCUUGGUACCUAAACCUCACAAAGACUCAACAAAGAAAGAGAAUCUCAGGCCAAUCUCCCUUAUGAACAUUGAUGCAAAAAUACUUAACAAAAUACUCGGAAACCGAAUACAAGAACACAUCAAAGAUAUUAUCCACUAUGACCAAGUAGGCUUCAUCCCAGGUAUGCAGGGGUGGUUCAGUAUACAGAAAUCCAUCAAUGUGAUCCACCAUAUUAACAAACUGAAAGAAAAAAAAUCACAUGAUAAUCUCCCUAGAUGCUGAAAAAGCAUUUGACAAAAUCCAACAUCCAUUCAUGUUUAAAGUAUUAAAGAGAUCAGGGAUACAAGGCACAUAUCUCAAAAUGGUAAAGGCGAUAUACAGCAAGCCUAAGCCAACAUCAAACUGAAUGGAGAGAAACUUAAAGCAAUCCCACUGAAAUCAGGGACAAGACAAGGCUGCCCACUCUCCCCAUAUCUCUUCAACAUAGUGCUGGAAGUCCUUGCUAGAGCAAUAAGACAGUUGAAGGAGAUCAAGGGGAUACAGAUUGGAAAAGAAGAAGUCAAAUUAUCACUAUUUGCAGAUGAUAUGAUAGUAUACCUGAGUGACCCCAAAAACUCUACCAGGGAACUCCUACAGCUGAUAAACACCUUCAGCAAAG